rnacentral:rRNA from 1 species
AAUUCUGGACAAUGGGCGCAAGCCUGACCCAGCAAUGCCGCGUGCAGGAUGAAGGCCUUCGGGUUGUAAACUGCUUUUGUACGGAACGAAAAGCUCUGGGUUAAUACCCUGGGGUCAUGACGGUACCGUAAGACAAAGCACCGGCUAACUACUUGCCAGCAGCCGCGGUAAUACGGAGGGUGCAAGCGUUAAUCGGAAUUACUGGGCGUAAAGCGUGCGCAGGCGGUUUUGUAAGACAGAGGUGAAAACCCCAGGCUCAACCUGGGAACUGCCUUUGUGACUGCAAGGCUAGAGUACGGCAGAGGGGGAUGGAAUUCCGCGUGUAGCAGUGAAAUGCGUAGAUAUGCGGAGGAACACCGAUGGCGAAGGCAAUCCCCUGGGCCUGUACUGACGCUCAUGCACGAAAGCGUGGGGAGCAAACAGG